rnacentral:rRNA from 1 species
GACGAACGCUGGCGGCGUGCUUAACACAUGCAAGUCGAACGGAAAGGCCCUGCUUUUGUGGGGUGCUCGAGUGGCGAAAGGGUGAGUAACACGUGAGUAACCUGCCCUUGACUUUGGGAUAACUUCAGGAAACUGGGGCUAAUACCGGAUAGGAGCUCCUGCUGCAUGGUGGGGGUUGGAAAGUUUCGGCGGUUGGGGAUGGACUCGCGGCUUAUCAGCUUGUUGGUGGGGUAGUGGCUUACCAAGGCUUUGACGGGUAGCCGGCCUGAGAGGGUGACCGGCCACAUUGGGACUGAGAUACGGCCCAGACUCCUACGGGAGGCAGCAGUGGGGAAUAUUGCACAAUGGGCGGAAGCCUGAUGCAGCAACGCCGCGUGCGGGAUGACGGCCUUCGGGUUGUAAACCGCUUCCGCCUGUGACGAAGCGUGAGUGACGGUAAUGGGUAAAGAAGCACCGGCUAACUACGUG